rnacentral:rRNA from 1 species
AGAGUUUGAUCAUGGCUCAGAGUGAACGCUGGCGGCAGGCCUAACACAUGCAAGUCGAACGGCAGCACAGAGGAGCUUGCUCCUUGGGUGGCGAGUGGCGGACGGGUGAGGAAUACAUCGGAAUCUGCCUUAUCGUGGGGGAUAACGUAGGGAAACUUACGCUAAUACCGCAUACGACCUACGGGUGAAAGCGGGGGAUCGCAAGACCUUGCGCUAUUGGAGCGGCCGAUGGCAGAUUAGGUAGUUGGUAGGGUAAAAGCCUACCAAGCCUACGAUCUGUAGCUGGUUUGAGAGGACGACCAGCCACACUGGGACUGAGACACGGCCCAGACUCCUACGGGAGGCAGCAGUGGGGAAUUUUGGACAAUGGGCGCAAGCCUGAUCCAGCCAUGCCGCGUGCGGGAAGAAGGCCUUCGGGUUGUAAAGCACUUUUACCAGGAACGAAAGGUGUCGGCGAAUACCCGGCACUGCUGACGGUACCUGGGGAAUAGCACCGGCUAACUUCGUGCCAGACAGCAGAGGUAAUACGAAGGGUGCAGCGUUAUCGGAAUUACUGGGCGUAAAGGGUGUGUAGGUGGCUGUAAGUCUGUCGUGAAAGCCCCGGGCUCACUGGAAUGGCGGUGGAUACUGGCGGGCUCGAGUACGGUAAGGGUGGUGGAAUUCCCGGUGUAGCGGUGAAAUGCGUAAGAUCGGGAGGAACAUACAGUGGCGAGGCGGCACUGGACCAGUACUGACACUUGAGAA